UACGUAGGGCGCAAGCGUUGUCCGGAAUUAUUAGGCGUAAAGAGCUCGUAGGCGGCCUGUCGCGUCUGCUGUGAAAUCCCGGGGCUCAACCCCGGGCCUGCAGUGGAUACGGGCUGGCUGGAGGCAGGCAGGGGAGAACGGAAUUCCUGGUGUAGCGGUGAAAUGCGCAGAUAUCAGGAGGAACACCGGUGGCGAAGGCGGUUCUCUGGGCCUGUACUGACGCUGAGGAGCGAAAGCGUGGGGAGCGAACAGG
rnacentral:rRNA from 1 species